CCAUACAGUUCCACGAACAUGAAUUUCGCUCUUAGAAGACUCAACCGAGGACACGUUGAGCACAUGCCUCGUUUCCUCGGUGAAGAGCAUUCUUGCGUGGAGGACCCUCGAGGAGCGCUAUCAUGUGCUGUCAGGACCAAGUUAAAAUUUAGGAUCUGCAAUGACACACAUGACGUUAAGUUAUGAAUCCAACAAAUAACGCAAUUUGGGCAUCUGAAUAAGCCAUCCUAUUUUUUGUUUCAGUAACCUUGACUAACACUCCGAAACGAUGCGUCUUCGUGUGUUUACGCUUUCCGCAGCCCCGUGCACUGAGCUACCGGUGAUGGGAACUCUCUGCCACUUACGAAAUAUGAUCACCAGGGCAUGGGGCGGCAGGGGCUACACCCCUGGGCACGGAGCACAUGGGCACAGAGACGGCCUCCCAAGGGCGGUCUGGGCACGGUGCAAAAGGUCAGGUGCUUUCAGACUCAGACGUGGAAAGACGCAUCACAGCAUGAACACACCACCAGACGCCCACAAACACACAGUCUGCAUGGGCACAUGACAUGGAAGCGGGCAGCGGACAGAGGCAAGGACUCACAUGCUGUGCACCUCCCAAGACAUCUCACCUUGGGAAAUAUCAAGAGGCUGAUUCUCCAACCAAUUCCCUACUCUUCAGGGAAGGAAAGCGUCGUGCCAAUCCCAGAGAGAGAAAACUAGACACAGCUGCUGAUGGCAUGCUGGGAGAAUUCUACGCACUUGACGACGGUAGCUGGUGUCCCUCACUCCCCAGGAAGAUUGGCCAUAUCGCCAUGAGGUAACCACACAGGUCUUGGGUCGUAGACCAUAUUUAAAAAGUCUUCCUUGGGCACCUCGGUGCCUCAGUGGGUUAAGCCUCUGCCUUCGGCUCAGGUCAUAGUCUCAGGGUCCUGGGAUCAAGUCCUGCAUCAGGCUUUCUGCUCAGCAGGGACCCUGCUUCCCCCUUCUCCCUGCCUGCCUC